CACCGGUAUAAAAACAUAUUUCACCGACAGAUCUCGGUUAGUUAUUUUCUAUCACCCAGGAUGGCUGCGUUGAAGGUUCUGAUUGUAGGAAUCGUGUUCCUCCUGAACAUUGUUCAGCUUUUGGCCACCCCCCUGUCAAGAGGUUCGAAUGGCCAAAAAAGUGGGCUAGGAAGGUGUCAAUUUUGCAGUUAUAAUCCUAUAAAUACUUAAAGUUGGCGAUUGGACAGAACUAAUGGCAGUCCAUAUUGGUACACAUAAAAUCGAUGCGCUGUUUAAAAUCUUUAUUGAAGUAUAAAAAUGUAUAAAGCAAAACAAAAAGAUGAUAAAGACAAUAAACAAAGAUCAAGCUAAAAA